rnacentral:rRNA from 1 species
AUUGAACGCUGGCGGCAGGCCUAACACAUGCAAGUCUAGCGGAUGAAGGGAGCUUGCUCCUGGAUUCAGCGGCGGACGGGUGAGUAAUGCCUAGGAAUCUGCCUGGUAGUGGGGGAUAACGUCCGGAAACGGGCGCUAAUACCGCAUACGUCCUGAGGGAGAAAGUGGGGGAUCUUCGGACCUCACGCUAUCAGAUGAGCCUAGGUCGGAUUAGCUAGUUGGUGGGGUAAAGGCCUACCAAGGCGACGAUCCGUAACUGGUCUGAGAGGAUGAUCAGUCACACUGGGACUGAGACACGGUCCAGACUCCUACGGGAGGCAGCAGUGGGGAAUAUUGGACAAUGGGCGAAAGCCUGAUCCAGCCAUGCCGCGUGUGUGAAGAAGGUCUUCGGAUUGUAAAGCACUUUAAGUUGGGAGGAAGGGCAGUAAGUUAAUACCUUGCUGUUUUGACGUUACCAACAGAAUAAGCACCGGCUAACUUCGUG